AAAGUACUCCCUCCUUCCCAAAAUUCUUGUCUUAGAUUUUUCUAGAUACGGAUGUAUCUGUGACGGAUGUAUCAAGUCACAGAUACAUCCGUAUCUAGACAAAUCUAAGACAAGAAAUUUCGGACAAAGGGAGUAGUUG
rfam:Triticum aestivum genome assembly, contig: Triticum_aestivum_CS42_TGACv1_scaffold_641262_T_4BL-0.129453_4BS-0.072781